CUUAGGAAGUGGGAGAGAGAUUUUCAGAGGGAACCAGCCUUUGACAAAAAAGUAAAUUCACUGCCAAAAGAUGUGUGAUAAACACCAAUUUAUCAACGUGCUGUUUGCACAGAAGCUUAAUGAAGCCAGUUUAAACACCACUUCCUGACUGAUGAUGUGUUACCGAAGCAUCCUUGCAAAAUUGAGACUCACAGCGUACAGUAAUAUAACAACU